UUUCUUUGUGCUGCUUGACCUGCGGCUGGGUGAGCAGGCCCAGGGUUCCCUUCUCUUGGCUUCCCGUCCCUAUGCGGUCAGUGUACCUGGGCAGGGCUCAGGAACUGCCUUGUCGGGGCAGCCUGGAAGCCAGUCAUUUCUGUCCUGCUCUGGAACUCUGUGUUCUGCCAGGGACACAGUUUGUGGGGCAGGCCUGAGACCUUCCAUGUAGCUGGUGGGCCUCAGAUGUUCCCCCAGGAUGCCUUCUUCGUUUCCCCAGACUGGUUCAAGCUGCACCUCCGACGUGCUCCAACAGCCCCUGAGCUGCCUCCCUGCAGACGCCAUACCUGCCGUGGCUGCUUGUUUGCUGAGUAGCCUCUCCCACUGAACCCUGGGCAACUUGAGAUAAAUGAAGAUUUUGAGGCCAAAGGAGAAUUGCAGGGAAGAUAAAUCCUGAAAACUUUUCAAACAUUUCAGAAUGCACACUCCCUUUGAAGAGUAAAAAAGGAUAUUUGUCGCCCCGGCUUGUCCCCAGACCUUCGGUGGAGGGGGUGGAAGCGGUUCCUGGAUGGCCUCUCCACCAGCCCGUGAUGGCGGGUUCCCCGAACAUUAUCAGCUUGGUGAAAUGACGGCUGCAGAGAGAAGGGAAGAAGAGUUGGCCUCCAACCAUGAAAUUGACACUCACCCUCAAGAACAACUGAUAACAACAGGAGAUGAAAGGACCGAUUUUACAGUUUUACUUAUUAUACAUUAGUGGGCCUUGGGUCAAGGUAAAUAAAGUAGUAUAUGCAACUAUUUCUUUAUAAUAACCAUAAAAUAAUGACAAAUAAUCUGUAGUGUGUUAAGAGGAAAGCUGAAAGAAUAAUAAAAGUUGUCAUGCAAUUGGGGGAGGAGAAUCAGAAGACGGUGAACUCAUAUACUAAAUCCCAGAAAACUAGAAAGGACACUUUGAAAUGUAAAAGAGGUAUAUUAAAGAAAGAAACUGGC